AUUGAACGCUGGCGGCAGGCCUAACACAUGCAAGUCGAGCGGAUGAAGGGAGCUUGCUCCUGGAUUCAGCGGCGGACGGGUGAGUAAUGCCUAGGAAUCUGCCUGGUAGUGGGGGAUAACGUCCGGAAACGGGCGCUAAUACCGCAUACGUCCUGAGGGAGAAAGUGGGGGAUCUUCGGACCUCACGCUAUCAGAUGAGCCUAGGUCGGAUUAGCUAGUUGGUGGGGUAAAGGCCUACCAAGGCGACGAUCCGUAACUGGUCUGAGAGGAUGAUCAGUCACCCUUGAAACGAGAACCGGUCCCGAACUCUAAGGGAGGGCGGCGUGGGGAAUAUUUGAACAUGGGCGGAAGCCUGAUCCAGCCAUGGCGCGUGUGGUAAAGAGGUCUUCGGAUUGUAAAGCACUUUAAGUUGGGAGGAAGGGCAGUAAGUUAAUACCUUGCUGUUUUGACGUUACCAACAGAAUAAGCACCGGCUAACUUCGUG
rnacentral:rRNA from 1 species